AGUGAGGUCUCGGUUGAAUUUACUAUUUACCCGAUCCCCGUGGAGAAAACCAAUGCAAUUGCCACGCAACCGAUAACACUGGGCUGUUGAAACGACUGUCUCACGGUCUACACAGCGAAGUACCUGAAUGCGAGAAAUUCUCGAAUCUCGAUUUUCUUCGGGACAUGAUUCAAAGAAAAUCUAGAAAAUGAUGUACUACAGCUAUCGAAAUCGAAUAAAUCAAUAAAUAACUUUUACUUUUA